GGACUACCAGGGUAUCUAAUCCUGUUUGCUCCCCACGCUUUCGCGCCUCAGUGUCAGUCUGGACCCAGGUUGACGCCUUCGCCACUGGUGUUCUUUCCGAUCUCUACGCAUUUCACCGCUACACCGGAAAUUCCACAACCCUCUGUCCGACUCUAGUCUUGUAGUUUCCAACGCAAUUCCCAGGUUAAGCCCGGGGAUUUCACAUCAGACUUACAUAACCACCUACACGCCCUUUACGCCCAAUAACUCCGAUUAACGCUUGCACCCUCUGUAUUACCGCGGCUGCUGGCAC
rnacentral:rRNA from 1 species